AAAAAACACGUUUUGGGGAAUCUUCUUUAUAAAAUUAUCAGAAGAGUAGAUCACUGCACUCUUCAUACCCUGCCUAUGAAACAAUACAAGUAUCAUAGGGAAAAGCCCCAUUAUGAGAAAGCAGUUAGAAUAACUGCACGUUAGGAGAGCUAGGUCACUGCUGGCCGAUCUGACGGUGAUUUGCAUCCGCUUCAGUACAGGGGAAAGGAAUGUUUGAUCUGACAGAAAGUGGAGGAGGAGGGCAGCCUCUCCACUUCGCAGGUCGCUGCUGGCUCCCCCGGGGAUUUACUGCUUCCUCCAAGGAGCUCCCACUGCAGCUGGAAUAGAGGCUUGUUUCUCCAGCUGUCUAACCUUCAGUGUUAUCUGUCUCUCUUUGACCUCUUAGUUUUAUAAUGAGUCAGUUUAUUUGUGUGUGCAAAUUGAGUUUUCUUAGAAAUAGAACAGAGCUAGAAAGAGGCCCAUGUUUUAGUCGUUUCCUCUGAAGAAGGAGAAGCAGCCAGGGGACCUGGCACCGCAGAAGGUGCUUGUGCUCUGACAGCCCCUGUUGUUGGUGUCUUUUAACACCGUGGAGUGAAGUCUAGUGGUCAGAGGAAGAUUGUCUCCCUGUGGGAGGUGGAAAUAUCCUCAGGGUUUACCAGCUAAUUACUUCUGGAGGCCCUAGGAGCUCAGAGAAUUUGCUUAGCAACUGGCCUGACCGGUCCCCCGACCCCUGCUGUCCCCUGACAUUACCCGACUUACCAGCGGGGCUGAUGGAGCAGUUUGGGAACCAAACACGAUCCAGCAUUUUUGUGAAAAUGGUGCCAAUCUUUUCCUCGAUGGGACCUGAGCCUGUAACCCAGUCCAACAAAACGAGGGAGAGGAAGCCAAAAAAAACUUUUUUGAGAAACAACACAGGCAGUAGGAAAUCAUACUGGUCAGGGCUUGUUUUCCUGACUCAGGGCCUCAUUCCAACCUGUUGCAAUCAGCUCUCCGAGUGUCUAUAGGGACACCCUGGCGCAGGGGCCCCUCGGAGGAGAGGAACUUUUUACAUUUGUGUUUGACUGGGCUCCUUGCCAGGGGCUAAGUUCAAAGUGCAGUUUCCAGUAAUUUGCUGGGACUUCUCUGUGGGUUUGAUAGGCCAGGACAGAAGCCUGCAAGCUGAAGUAAUAUUUCCUGAUUUCUGUCAUUUCUUAAGAAGAGAAGGAAGCCAUAACAUGAGGACAACAGCGAUACCAAUCUCAGAAGGUUUUUGUGAGAAUUAAGUAAAAGUGGCAACAUAAUAUGGAAAGAGUCCCUGGCACACAUCCGUGUAAUCUUGAUGCCGAAGAAACUUCAGUAAUGAGAACAGCUGACUUUAUCUGCACUCAUUGGAUAAAAGUUCUUUUCUGGUGGCCGAUCAGAACAUAUCAAAAAGUAGAAAUGAUUGGAAAGGUUUUUCGGAUGCCCCUCGCCUCUCCCUGCGUGUCCUCAAGGCGGCAUCUUGGUAAGAGGCUGUUUUAUGGAACGUGGCAGGAUCCGUCACCAUUCUCCGGAUCCUUAUUGGUCUGUGUUGCAAGGGUCUGAUGAGGGAAGAAAACGUUGUGCUGAGGAAAGAUGAGAUUGCAGCUCAGCACCAAGAUUGCAGCUCAGCACCAAGAUUGCAGCUCAGCUCUAAGAUUGCACCUCAGCUCUAAGACUGCAGCUGAGCUCUAAGAUUGCAGCUCAGCACCAAGAGUGCAGCUCAGCACUAAGAUUGCAGCUCAGCACCAAGAUUGCAGCUCAGCACCAAGACUGCAGCUCAGCUCUAAGACUGCAGCUCAGCACCAAGACUGCAGCUCAGCACCAAGAUUGCAGCUCAGCUCUAAGACUGCAGCUCAGCACCAAGACUGCAGCUCAGCACCAAGAUUGCAGCUCAGCACUAAGAUUGCAGCUCAGCACCAAGAUUGCAGCUCAGCUCUAAGACUGCAGCUCAGCACUAAGAGUGCAGCUCAGCUCUAAGACUGCAGCUGAGCUCUAAGAUUGCAGCUCAGCUCUAAGACUGCAGCUCAGCAUCAAGAUUGCAGCUCAGCUCUAAGACUGCAGCUCAGCACCAAGACUGCAGCUCAGCACUAAGACUGCAGCUCAGCACCAAGAUUGCAGCUCAGCUCUAAGACUGCAGCUCAGCACCAAGAGUGCAGCUCAGCUCUAAGACUGCAGCUCAGCACCAAGAUUGCAGCUCAGCACCAAGACUGGAGCUCAGCACCAAGAGUGCAGCUCAGCACCAAGACUGCAGCUCAGCACCAAGAUUGCAGCUCAGCACCAAGAUUGCAGCUCAGCUCUAAGACUGCAGCUCAGCACUAAGAUUGCUGCUCAGCACCAAGAUUGCAGCUCAGCACUAAGAUUGCAGCUCAGCACUAAGACUGCAGCUCAGCACCAAGAUUGCAGCUCAGCACCAAGAUUGCAGCUCAGCUCUAAGACUGCAGCUCAGCACCAAGACUGCAGCUCAGCUCUAAGACUGCAGCUCAGCACCAAGAUUGCAGCUCAGCUCUAAGACUGCAGCUCAGCACCAAGAUUGCAGCUCAGCUCUAAGACUGCAGCUCAGCUCUAAGAUUGCAGCUCAGCACCAAGAGUGCAGCUCAGCACCAAGAGUGCAGCUCAGCACUAAGAUUGCAGCUCAGCACUAAGAUUGCAACUCAGCACCAAGAUUGCAGCUCAGCUCUAAGACUGCAGCUCAGCUCUAAGACUGCAACUCAGCUCUAAGAUUGCAGCUCAGCUCUAAGACUGCAGCUCAGCACUAAGAUUGCAGCUCAGCUCUAAGAUUGCAGCUCACCACCAAGAUUGCAGCUCAGCUCUAAGAUUGCAGCUCAGCACUAAGAUUGCAGCUCAGCACCAAGAUUGCAGCUCAGCACCAAGAUUGCAGCUCAGCACCAAGAUUGCAGCUCAGUUCUAAGAUGUAAGAUGCACACAGUGAGUGAAUCUCUGGGUGCAUGCACCAUAGCGUUUGGUUGCCUUUUUAACUUCAAGCAUGGAAAUGUAUUUGAGGUAUUUAUUUAUUUUAUUUUAUUUGGCCAGGGAAUUUGUGUUAUAAAAUUAUUAUAAACUUAUUUAAUUAUUGUAAAUUAUUGUGUUAGCAAAAUUAUUUACCCCCAUGUCAACUGAUCGCUCAAAAAUGAAUUAAGCUUGUAAUAUUUCUUGGCGCUCUUUUAUGCUGUAGCCCUAGAAACUGAGAACUUCUCAAGGCUUUGAGAAAGUUAUACUUGAUACAACAGAGCAACAUACAGUGCUAGUGUCAGCAUAAUUUCUGGAACUCCUUCCUACAAUACCAAAGAAUUUAAAAGUAUGUUUACUUUGUAAGUGCUAAAAAUAGUGUCUAAAACAUGGAUAGCAGUUAUUCAUUGAUGUUAUUAUGAGAAAUAAUAAAAUGCAUAGGAAAACAAGAUAUUUACAAUGUAUAUUUACUUAAUGUUCAGUACAUGUAAGCCUGAACUCACUCUCUAGCACAGGAGUUUUAGUAUGUUCCAGGAGGUAUGUCUCUCCUGUUGAAAGGCUGUCUUCCCCAGACACCACUUCCUUGGAAAGAGGUUUUGUGUGUGAUAAUAUGGUAGUGGAUCAGAGUAUUAGCCGCCUUUGCUAUGGUGUGACCACCACUCUUUUAAACAUUUCUCUGCCCAACUUAAUGUGCAUCAGGGUUGGGGAAAGAGGUGGCAGUCAUAGGUUAUCAUAAAUAUUAGAGAGAGAUUGAUCUUUCACAGUGAAGUAUUGUUAGUCUUUUUUUUUUUUUUUUUUUUUUUGUGGUACGCGGGCCUCUCACUGUUGUGGCCUCUCCCGUUGCGGAGCACAGGCUCCCGUACGCGCAGGCUCAGCGGCCAUGGCUCUCGGGCCUAGCCGCUCCGCGGCAUGUGGGAUCUUCCCAGACUGGGGCAGGAACCCGCGUGCCCUGCAUCGGCAGGCGGACUCUCAACCACUGCGCCACCAGGGAAGCCCCGUAUUGUUAGUCUUGAAUGUGUGGCUGAAGGAAGUUGUAGGACUUCUAGCCUCUUCUCCUAGGUCUUCAUUCUGCUCAGGAUGGUCAAUGUCUGUUGUGGAAUAUCCUCUAAACUGGAGAAAGGCUUAAUGACCUUUUGUAGUUCUUAAUUCAGUUCUUUCUAUGUCACCAAGUUGUCAAGGAGCAACUUUACCAUGAUGUCUAAACUUUUCAAUUUUUAAAGUAUAAAUAGUCAUAGUAAGUUAAUAGUAAGAGAUUUUAGAAAAAAAAAUAAGUUAAGAAAAAUGAGUAGAAUUUUGCAAAGUAGUUUAGCUGGGUCAAGGUUUAUAAAAUCCACAUUGUGGGUUCUUAGGGAGUAUUAAACAAUGUUGGAUAAUAGAAUGGACCUCCAUCUAGUUUGGAAUGCUAAUGAAAGAAACUGAUGUUUAUUGGUUGCCUGCUAUGAACCAGGAACCUUGCAGGGUCCUUAUAUGUACUUGUGUAUUUAAUCCCUUGAGGUGGUCUUACUACGUCUAUUUUAAAGAUGCAGUAACUGAGAUCUGUAAAACUUUAACCAAGUUUCCCAGGUCACACAAGUAGUAAGUGGCAAGCCAAUCUUUCGUGAAAACCCAUGCCUACAGUCUGUUUUUCUAGAAUUCCUAGGUCUGAGCUGCUAGUGAAAUAGAUGAAUCUGGUAAAUUUAUAGCCUUAGAUAUUUAAGUAAAUUCCCUAUGGGUGCAAUUAUAAAGCAGCAUUCCACUCAACACAGAUAUUUACAUACUCCUUCCCAUCUGCCUCUCCUCUAAUCAGUCAACUAGCCUGGUCCUGGGAUUCCUCCUCCAUGAAGUAUGUUAGAUUGAUCUUCUCCUCUCUAUUGCAAAAGCUAAAAUGCUAUUCAGGCCCUUCAAACGUAUCACUUGAAUGGUUAACUGGUAAAUUAAUAUACUGAACCACCACUUCCCUUAAGUCAUCCAGUGUCUCCCGGUUGCCAGCAAAUAGGUCAAAACUCCUAAGGACGGCAUUGAAGGAUUAUAUAAUCUGUCUCCAGAUUGCCUUUUCAGAAUCCUCUACCACCACCCCUAUAUCAGGACCUGGAUCCAGUGUUGCCAAGUGGUCUCCCUACAUCUCUACCUGGGCGUGACGCUGUUUCUCCUGCCUGUUCACAGCUUAAUAAACUUGACCAUUCUGACUCCAGUUCAGAUCCUAGUUCUUUUCUAAAGCUGCCGUAUUUCUGAGGUCUAGAGUUCUUUCUUACUUAGGCCACCUCUUGUUAAACCAAUCAUUUGGCCAUUACCACUUACUGCGAGGCACUGAGAAGAGAACCGGUUUGACUAUGACCCUUUUACUUAUUGUCUGUGUGACCUUUGGCAGGCCAUUUAAUAUGUAAGACUCAGUUUCCUUAAAUACGAAAUGGGUUAUGGUUCGGAACUAUCCCCAUUUGACCUCCCAUGGGGAAACUUCUUUUCUUUAUGGCUCAGUUCCUAAAGUUGUAACAUGGAGAUAAUAAGAGUAACUAACAGAAUUGGUGUGACAAUUAACUGUGCAUUAAUCAGGAUGAGUGAGGUUAUUUUACCGGAAAAACCAAACCCAAAUCUUAGUGUCUUUUGUUUUUUUAAAAAAAAUUUAUUUAUUUUUGGCUGAGUUGCGUCUUUGUUGCUACGCACAGGCUUUCUCUACUUGUGGCGAGUGGGGGCUACUCUUCGCUGCAGUGCACAGGUUUCUUAUUGCGGUGGCCUCUCUUGUUGCGGAGCCGGGCUCUAGGCGUGCGGGCUUCAGUAGUUGUGGCACGAGGGCUCAGUAGUUGUGGCACGAGGGCUCAGUACUUGUGGUCGCGAGCUCUAGAGCACGGGCUCUAGAACGCAGGCUCAGUAGUUGUGGCGCAUGGGCUUCGAUGCUCCACGUAAGUGGGAUCUUCCCAGACCAGGGCUCAAACCCAUGUCCCCUGCAUCGGCAGGGAGAUUCUUAACCACUGCGCCACCAGGGAAGCCCAAUCUUAGUGUUUUAAAACCACAAAAUUUUAUUUCUUGCUCACACUCCGUGUCCAUAUCAGGCUGGCAGGAACUCUGCUCUACAAUGUUCAUAUUCAGGGACCUUGAAUGUUCAUAUUGCUGGAACUGUCACUAACUGGAAUAGCACAGUCAAUGUGGCAAGAGGAAGGGGAUGGAGUGAGCUGUGCAUUAGUUCUUAGAGCUGCUGCUCAGAAGUGAUAUGCAUUUCAAUAGCCAAAGCAAAUCUCAUGCCCCAGCUAACUUCAAAGAGGCAGGGAGGAACAAUCCCACCAAGUGCUCAGAAGAACGAGGCCCAGAGUCAUCUGGGAAUGGCACUAAUCAUGGUCUUACCUUGUGUCAUGGGGCCAUUUUCUCAUGGUACAGUUCAUGUUUUAUCUGCCCUUCUAUGACAUAGCCUCCUUGGUUUCAGAAUGAGGGCUGUGUUUUCUGCCCUCCUUUCCCUACAAUGAUCAGCAUAGAUCCUCAGUACAUGUUUCACUGAAUAGAGGACUACGCCAAGUGGUUUCUCCCCAAUGCUAGGGAGCAUUUUAGGUUUUAAGUCCCAGGAUUUGCUUUUAUAUGACGAAAAGUCUUAGGUAGAAUGACUUCCCUGGUGGCGCAGUGGUUAAGACUCCACGUUCCCAAUGCAGGCGGCCCAGGUUCGAUCCCUGGUCAGGGAACUAGAUCCCACGUGCAUGCUGCAACUGAGUUCGCAUGCCACAACAAGGAGCCUGCGUGCUUCAACUAA